UACGUAGGGUGCGAGCGUUAAUCGGAAUUACUGGGCGUAAAGCGUCCGUAGGUGGCUUUACAAGUCAGCUGUUAAAGCGUGGAGCUUAACUCCAUAAAGGCAGUUGAAACUGUGAGGCUAGAGUGCGGUAGGGGUAAGGGGAAUUCCCAGUGUAGGCGGUGAAAUGCGUAGAUAUUGGGAAGAACACCGGUGGCGAAAGCGCCUUGCUGGACCUGCACUGACACUGAGGGACGAAAGCUAGGGGAGCGAAAGGG
rnacentral:rRNA from 1 species